UACGUAGGGGGCAAGCGUUGUCCGGAAUUAUUGGGCGUAAAGAGCGCGUAGGCGGUCCGAUAAGUCGGCUGUGAAAGUCAGGGGCUCAACCCUUGAAAGCCGGCCGAUACUGUCGGACUAGAGUCCGGAAGAGGCAAGUGGAAUUCCUGGUGUAGCGGUGAAAUGCGCAGAUAUCAGGAGGAACACCGGUGGCGAAGGCGGGUCUCUGGACAGUUCCUGACGCUGAGGCACGAAGGCCAGGGGAGCAAACGGG
rnacentral:rRNA from 1 species